GGUCCUGUGGUGUACUGGUUAACACCCUUGGUCUAGAUACAAAAGAGCCUGAGUUCAAAUCCCAGCAGGGUCA